rnacentral:tRNA from 1 species
UCCCUGGUGGCUUAGUUGGUAAAGAAUCUGCCUGCAAUGCAGGAGACCCAGGUUCGAUCCCUGGGUGGGGAA